GACUCAUAACUCCCUUAGGUGUCUUCCCACUCCUGUGCCAGAUGGAAGAACAAUUACUACUAUUUUAAAAGGAUGUGCUUUCGGUUUUGGCCACUGAUCCUUCAAAAGAGGCCCCAGAUUGACUUAGGCUGUAUCAUUUGAAGGUUCCUAUCAGAUUUUAGGGUUUUUUAGACUUGGGCUGAAACUUCUUAUCUCUCUUGCCUUCUGUCUUUCCCCUUGGAAGGCCCUGGUUGUGUUCACACCCCAGGCCAAGGAGAAGCAAAUGGGGCCAGGCUGUGGUUUCAGCCUCUGCUUUAGAGUUUUGCUGCUUCUGCAUCUGGUGAAUUGUGACAUGUAAACCUCUGCUGGCCAGAAAUCCCCAGAAUGAAUGCAGAUCAUAAAGGGGAAAGGAAGGGUAGGGUGCAUUUGAAUGUUUUUAAGCUUUGCUGAGGACAUCUGGCCUGUGGUGAUUUGCUUAGAAGAGGAUUAAUUGUAACACAGACUCAGGAAGAAUGGGGAUCCCUUAAUGACAAGUGUCAAGUAUACAGGAUACAAAUUGUGUGUAAGAGCCAGUGGAAUCAAAACAGAAUUAUAAAACCAUUCCAGGAUCUCCCUGAUGCUUCAAAAUGCUUCAGAGAAAUCCAUUAUACUUGGAGAGUUUCCCCAGCAGGAAUUCUUCGUGUCCUCAAUGCCUUCCAUUUUAAUAAAUAAAUUGUUUGAAAUUACAGCAAAUGAGGUGAAGGCUGUCCUGU